rnacentral:rRNA from 1 species
GACGAACCGUGCAAACGUUAUUCGGAAUCACUGGGCUUAAAGCGCAUGUAGGCGGAUGGGUGCGUCGGAUCCUGAAAGCCCCCGGCUCAACCGGGGAAGUGGGGCCGAAACGACCCGUCUGGAGGGACGUAGGGGGAUCUGGAACUUCCGGUGGAGCGGUGAAAUGCGUUGAGAUCGGAAGGAACGCCCGUGGCGAAAGCGAGAUCCUGGACGUUUUCUGACGCUGAGAUGCGAAAGCUAGGGGAGCAAACGGG